rnacentral:lncRNA from 1 species
GUGGGAACUGACCUAGCAGACUGAGCAAGAAUGACCAGGGUGGUGGGGAGAAAAAAGCCCAGAGAGAGUGAUGUCCCAGAAAGAGUGAAGGCAACAUUGCUAACAUGGGUCAUGUUGGACUGAUCACUAGACUGUAAGUUCACAUGCAUAGGGACCUUAUUCUGUUUUGUUCUAUGCUUGAUCUCCAGCCCCUGAAGUAGGACCCGGCACCUAGAAGCUGCUCAGUGAAAGAACAUUGUUGAAUGAAAAAGCAAGAUGAGACCUGGGAGUUUUCCCUGGAUGUAGCCACUUGGAGGUUGUGUGUGACCUUACGAGAGCAGUUUCAGAGGACUGGUGAGGACGAAAAGUCUGUUUGAGAUCCUCGUCUGGCUUGGUGCUCUUUACAAGACUUAAGAUGACCUGCCACAGUACUGCCUAUGCAUUCAAAUGGAGCAUAUAUUCACAGGAAUGGAGUGUCUGUAAGACUCAACAAAAUGAAACCAGGACACUUAUGGCUGCGUCUUGCACUGCUUGGGGCCUCCCUGCCAGCUGCGCUGGGAUGGAUGGACCCAGGACCCAGCAGAGGCCUGAACGUGGGUGUGAGUGAUGCACAAGCAGAGGUAUUGUCACAUAACACCUGAUAUGACCCUUAAAACGUGCUGCUUUUCAGUGUCAACAUAUCUGAUUUCUUCUCUACCUUUAUAUCAGUAAGAUUGCAGUGUGAAUUAAAAAUGUGCCCCCUUUUUGGUAAGAGGCAGAAGGAAACAACAUGUG